AAGAAAGUGGCAGAGCGGUUAUGCGGUUGGCUUGAAACCAUUUUACGGAGGUUCAAUUCCUUCCUUUCUCG
rnacentral:tRNA from 1 species